rfam:Bacillus litoralis strain C44 Scaffold5, whole genome shotgun sequence.
GAACCCUUUAAAGAAUAGUCCAGAGAGGCUACAAAGGGGAACAAAAAGGCUCAGGUCGCAGUAUGCGAAUGACGAUCUUUUUGUACCUCUUUGCACCUUUUUGCAAAGAGGUUUUUUGAUU